CGGGGUGAGUAAUGUCUGGGAAGCUGCCUGAUGGAGGGGGAUAACUACUGGAAACGGUAGCUAAUACCGCAUAACGUCGCAAGACCAAAGAGAGGGACCUUAGGGCCUCUUGCCAUCGGAUGUGCCCAGAUGGGAUUAGCUAGUAGGUGGGGUAACGGCUCACCUAGGCGACGAUCCCUAGCUGGUCUGAGAGGAUGACCAGCCACACUGGAACUGAGACACGGUCCAG
rnacentral:rRNA from 1 species